UACGUAGGGGGCGAGCGUUAUCCGGAUUUACUGGGCGUAAAGCGCGUUAAGGCGGUUGGCAAAGUUGGUUGUGAAAUCUCAGGGCUCAACCCUGAAAUUGCGACCAAUACUGGUCGACUAGAGUGUGAGAGAGGAAGGUGGAAUUCCUGGUGUAGUAGUGAAAUGCGUAGAUAUCGGGAGGAACACCAGUGGCGAAGGCGGCCUUCUGGCUCAUAACUGACGCUGUAGCGCGAAAGCGUGGGGAGCGAACCGG
rnacentral:rRNA from 1 species